rnacentral:rRNA from 1 species
AGUGAACGCUGGCGGUAGGCCUAACACAUGCAAGUCGAACGGCAGCACAGUAAGAGCUUGCUCUUACGGGUGGCGAGUGGCGGACGGGUGAGGAAUACAUCGGAAUCUACUUUUUCGUGGGGGAUAACGUAGGGAAACUUACGCUAAUACCGCAUACGACCUACGGGUGAAAGCAGGGGAUCUUCGGACCUUGCGCGAUUGAAUGAGCCGAUGUCGGAUUAGCUAGUUGGCGGGGUAAAGGCCCACCAAGGCGACGAUCCGUAGCUGGUCUGAGAGGAUGAUCAGCCACACUGGAACUGAGACACGGUCCAGACUCCUACGGGAGGCAGCAGUGGGGAAUAUUGGACAAAGGGCGAAAGCCUGAUCCAGCCAUACCGCGUGGGUGAAGAAGGCCUUCGGGUUGAAAAGCCCUUUUGUUGGGAAAGAAAAGCAGCAGGUUAAUACCCCGCUGUUCUGACGGUACCCAAAGAAUAAGCACCGGCUAACUUCGUG